AUGAAUAAUCUGUCCAGUAUGAAUGAAUUGUACCUGGACAGGAACAAAUUUGAAGGGACAAUACCACAUAGUUUGUCAGGUGUUUUAAAAGUCAUGGAUUUGCAUGAUAACAAGCUGUCUGGCAAUCUUGAUAACUCGUUAUGGAACCUAUCUUCUUUGGUAGUCCUGAAUCUUGCUGGCAACCAUAUAACCGGCAAAAUUCAUCCACAAAUCUGUGGCUUCAUGGGACUUCGCUUUUUAGAUCUAUCAAGCAAUAAUCUUGCAUGGUCUGUACCAAACUGUAUCUUUAUACAGCUCAAUUUUGUUAACCUGUCUGAGAACUCAUUUUCUGGCGAUAUCUCUUUUCCCUUUUUCAACACAUCAAGUCUGAUUUCUUUGGAUAUCAGACACAAUCAGUUCAAAGGCAACCUCCAUUGGGUACAUUAUCUUGACAACAUUAGGCUACUUACGUUGGGCAGAAAUAAGUUCGAAGGGUCAAUUAAUCCAAAAGUGUGCAAACUCAUGUACUUGAGGAUAAUUGAUUUGUCCCAUAACAAGCUUUCAGGUUCAUUGCCAGCAUGUAUUGGUGAUAUCUCUUUCAAAGGCGACACAGACGAUCAAAUGUUGGAGCCAGUCUAUGGAGAGAUAUACAAUGGCUCUUCAUAUGACUUACGAGGCUUCACCUUUGCCUCCAAGGGGAAUCUCUACACAUACGGUCGAAGUUUCUUCGCUUCAAUGUCUGGCAUCGACCUAUCUACAAACAUGUUGCAUGGAGAAAUUCCUUGGGAGCUAGGGAAUCUAAGCCAUGUCAAAUCCCUUAACCUGUCAUACAAUUUCUUUGUUGUCCCGAUCCCGAUGACCUUGAGCGGCAUGGAGGAGAUAGAGAGCUUGGACCUCUCCCACAAUGAGCUGAGUGGACCAAUACCUUGGCAGCUAACUCAGUUAUCAACAUUGGGGGGUGUUCUCUGUGGCAUACAACUUGUCAGGAUGUAUACCAAACUCUGGUCAGCUAGGCUUCGGCAUGGAGAGCUACCUAGGUAA
rnacentral:rRNA from 1 species